rnacentral:ribozyme from 1 species
AAAAAGAAAGAAAAAACGAAAACGAAGAAGCAGAAGAAGAAGGACUAAAUAAUGACCUUCGCACUCUUGUAGUUCUCUUCUCUCUUCUCUCUCUCUCUCUCUCUCUCUCUCUCUCAA